AGGAUUUAAUUAUCAACACAUACUCAAAUGUCUUAAAUGUAAACAUACUUUAGUUUUCAGUCAGAAUUUUUUCUAAGUUCUUAACUGAAUCCUCGAUAUAGUCAGGAAAAUGUAGUAACAAUUUUAUAUCAAAAUAGCUGAGUGGUUAAGGCGCUAUACUGUGAAAGUCAGUAAUGUAUGGUACCGUGUUCAAUCCCCACCGAAGAUUUUCUUUUUUUCCGUUUUAGUCAAUGGUAGACUAGUCUACUAUUAUAUUAUAUUCUAAAUUCACUGAAUUUCAUUGUACAUUUACGAGGGUUUCACUAGAAAAUGACUGCUUCGGUACUGCUUGCUUUAUUUUCUAAAAGUUUUUUUGCUUCAAGUAAUUCUAUAGUAUUUCUAUGUUAUUAUUGUAAAAAUACUUGUUCCAAAAUCCUUUAGUAUUACUCGAGUUUUUUUUAUUGUAUUUCUUGAGUAAUUGCCAAGUAAAUUUUUACCUGGGGCUCCAGAGGCACUUGCCGUAGACUCUAAAUUUGUUCAAGUAAAUUAUUCCUUUUAAUUAUUUCAUCAUGACCAAUUUUUACGAUUGGAUUGAUGAUCUGUUCUUGUAGUUGCUGUCUCAAUGUCAAGACGUUUGCUUGCUGAAGGUUUGCGAUACCAAUUGAUGGUUGACCAGUUGACCUACGCCGAAGUACGAUUAGCCCAAUGUAUCAAUGUAGGAGAAUAAGGUACCACUGAAGACUGGAUUAACCAGACAGAAAAAUAUAUUUCUGAUCGGAUGAAUGAACUGGUGUCGAAACAAUCUACACGAGUUGAGGAGUUACAUGAGUUGAACCCCAUCAUGCGAAGUCAAUUGGCCGUUCACCACCAACUUUUAUCGGAUGUGCACUCCGUAUUGAAAAGCAUGGCUAAAUGUGAAAUGGGGGAUGGAUCGGUUUCUCAUUAUUUGGAGAAGCAUCGCCAGUUUUCGGAAUGUUGUUCGUCAGUACCCCGUCGUUUGGCCACUAAAGAUUAUCAUUUUAAGAAAUGUAAGUGGUGUAUAAACAUGAAAUGCGUGUUAAAUACACAUUUUUAA